rnacentral:rRNA from 1 species
UACGAAGGGUGCAAGCGUUACUCGGAAUUACUGGGCGUAAAGCGUGCGUAGGUGGUUUGUUAAGUCUGAUGUGAAAGCCCUGGGCUCAACCUGGGAAUUGCAUUGGAUACUGGCAGGCUAGAGUGCGGUAGAGGGUAGUGGAAUUCCCGGUGUAGCAGUAGAAAUCGCGUAGAGAGUCGGAAAGAACACCAACGGCGAAAGCAACUCUGCUGGGCCGACACUGACACUGAGAGACGAAAGCUAGGGGAGCGAAUGGG